CGUCUUACAUUUCUACGUUGUGACAAUGUAGCGAGCACGUAAGCGGCAACGUUGCCUUUGAAAAAAUACAACGUUGUGCAGACAUCGCUACAACGUAACUGUGUUUGUUGGGAUGAGGGUCGCAUGCUUUAGGUUGUGCUUAGGUGGCGUGGACGACCACUGUACAACAUUUACUGGUCACAGCUGAAUCAGUUUAAAUUUCAACAAGCCGUCGUCUCAUUCAUCAACGACCGAGGAGACGCUAUUUUCACAUGGAGGUAAUCUUCUAUUGAUAAUUUCUGGAUUUUAAUUAUGCAAUGUUUUCAGCUGUUGAAUUCACCUCAGAUCAGUGUUGCUGUAAUUCCCGAUCUAUGGAAAGAAGAAUUGGAUGAGCGAGCAACGCCACAACUACAGGGCCUCUUCUUUCUCUUC